UCGUAUCGCUACCAAAAAUUGCAUUUUUCAAGCUGCGUGACAUUACGAAAAUCUUCACUUCACUUCAGUACUUUGAUUUGAAGAGUGACAUUACAAAAUUAUGAAAUUACGAAAAUCUUCACACCUUUCAUUUGAUUACUUCACUUCACUUCACUUCUUACCAACAUUUCCGAGGCGGAUCGUCCACCUAUGUAUUGCAGGGUGGAUGCAGCUGUGCCCAUCCUGCGGAUAUGGCGCGAUGAGGGGGCUGAACUGUGGCAAGAUUUUCGCCUGUCCAGACGUGCCAUGAACAGCCUGCAGAGGCUCCUGGACAGGGGGCAAGAUCAUGGUUGGGGGAAUCAAUUUGAAAUCCUGAUACACAAUCAAUUUGAAAUCCUGAUACACACAUUGGCUUGCCCAUGGACUGUCAUACCGGGUGGUAUCCAUUGUGUUCAGUGUACCGAAGGCAACUGUGCACAGAGUUAUACACCGGGUGGCACAAAGUAUCUGGAACCAUUUGAUCUCCUUCCCACAGGCCUAUGAGGAGCUGAAAGCAGUAGGGCAAGGGUUUGCUGAUCUAUCAGGGACCCCUGCUUUUGCAAAUGUUGUCGGGGCGAUCGAUGGAACCCAUAUUCGGAUCAAGCCACCACAACUACAUCGAUUAGACUAUCUAAAUUACAAGAACUUUUAUUAAAUUAACAAUCAGGCCAUAUGCGAUGCAAAGGGGACAUUUUUGGACAUUUUUGUGGGCUACCCAGGGUCUGUCCAUGGCACAAGGGUAAUGAAAAACAGUUCUUUUUAUUUGACUGCCAGGUAUCCACCGCCGGGUUACAUGCUUUUAGGUGAUGGUGGGUACCCCUGCCUCCAGACGCCCGUAUGUCUGUUGACUCCCUAUAAAGAGCCGGUGAUUGGGCGGGUGCAGCAGCGCUUUAAUUACCGCCAAUCCAAGGCGCGUUGUGUGAUAGAGCGGGCCUUCGGGAUGAUGAAGACAAGGUGGAGGUCAACCCUUUUCUGGGCGCUAGAAGUCAAGCCUACCUUUGCCCCACAGGUCAUUGCUUCCUGUGCCUUCUUGCACAAUGUUUGCUUAAAUAAUGGAGACACACUGGAUCCUGAUGAAGACAUUGCCAGGGAUGACCUUGACCCCCAUCCCCCUCAAGAACAAAUUGGACUCAAUGAAACACGAGGAUUUGUUAUCCGAGACUCACUGGCUGCCCAAGUCUCAUAUGAAUUUUAAAUGUUAUUACGCCUACUAAUCAGUUUUUCUACAGUUACCUGUUGGUAUUUAUGUUCCCUUACAAGUUUAUCCUGAUGAUUAUGUUCAUACUUUGUUAUUUAUUUGUUGAUUGAUAGUUAGAAUAUUUUUUUUUUAACUAUCUGCUUCUUGUAGCAUUUAUCACACAUAGAAAAAACUUUUGUAAACAAGAAUAUUUAAUUGUUCAACAAGUAACAUUAAAAUUAGAAAUAUAUAUAACAAUAGUAAAUAGGAAUAAAAAAAUAGCAUAAAUUAAUAAAUAGCAAGAAUAAAAACCAUAGGAACAACAAUAAUCAAUAAUUAUAAUUUGUUGACCAUCCUCUCAAAGAGAUCCAGAAAGCGAUCCGUCUUGGCCUCACUUUCUUCAUGGCGCCUCUGCUCCUGAAGGGCCUCCUCAGCCAGGAGUUCUGCCACUGUUUUGGACCUCCUUCGUGGUGGUAUGAUGGAUGUGGUAGGGUGUACUGGGGUGCUGGCUGCUGUCGGGGGUGCUUGGGUGUAGGGCUCCACCAUCUCCUAAAGAAACAAUGCAAGUCAGUUGUUAGAAGUCAUUCUCUUUAGAAAUGUUCAGCUAAUAUCUCAAGAAACAUGUUUGAAUAGCAGUUAGUGAAAUUCAUGAAACCACAUCACCCUCACCAUGAGGAUAACCAUGGGGUCUUGAAUAGAUGACACAAGGACUGGUGGGUCAAUUGCUGGCCGGGCACCAAGAACCUCGUGCAUCAAGUCAAAAUACUGCCACGUCGCCACAGUCACCUCUCCACUUUCAGUCCCCGACCCAGUUUUGGGAGUCCUCAAAUCCUGAAAAAACACACACACACACACACACACACACACACACACACACACACACACACACACACACACACACACACACACACACACACACACACACACACACACACACACACACACACACA